rnacentral:rRNA from 1 species
GUACCAUGCUGAAUAUACCGGUUCUCGUUAGAUCACCGAAGUUAAGCAUCAUUGGGCGCGGUCAGUACUUGGGUGGGUGACCACCUGGGAACACUGCGUGCCGUU